rnacentral:rRNA from 1 species
ACGGAGGAUGCGAGCGUUAUCCGGAUUCAUUGGGUUUAAAGGGUGCGUAGGCGGACUAUUAAGUCAGUGGUGAAAUCCUGCCGCUUAACUGCAGAACUGCCUUUGAUACUGAUAGCCUUGAGUUUAGUUAAGGUAGGCGGAAUGUGCAAUGUAGCGGUGAAAUGCUUAGAUAUUGCGCGGAACACCAAUGGCGAAGGCGGCUUACUGAACUGUAACUGACGCUGAGGCACGAAAGUGUGGGGAUCGAACAG